rnacentral:rRNA from 1 species
GACGAACGCUGGCGGCGUGCCUAAUACAUGCAAGUAGGACGAAGUUGCGAACGAGUGCGUAACGCGUAGGUAACUACCUAUUAGAGGGGGAUAACUAUUGGAAACGAUAGCUAAUACCGCAUACUAGUAGAUGGACCUGCGUUGUAUUAGCUAGUAGGUAGGGUAAUGGGCUCCCUAGGCAAAGAUACAUAGUCGAGAUGGUAGGGUGAUCCGCCACACUGGUACCUAGACACGGCCCAGACUCCUACGGGAGGCAGCAGUAGGGAAUCUUCGGCAAUGGGGGGAACACUGACCUAGCAACGGCGCGUGAGUGAAGAAGGUGUUCGGAUCGUAAAGCUCUGUUGUUAAGGAAGCGGUACGUAAACAGAAAGGGACGGCUAACUACGUGCCAGCAACCGCGGUAAUAC